AUUGCUUCUCGGCCUUUUGGCUAAGAUCAAGUGUAGUAUCAUAUGACCAUCCAACUCACUCUUAGUGAUUCCGAGCAGCUUACAAAGAUAAAAUCCACCCCCA
rnacentral:snRNA from 1 species